rnacentral:rRNA from 1 species
AUACGGAGGAUGCGAGCGUUACCCGGAUUUAUUGGGUUUAAAGGGUGCGUAGGCGGUUAUGCAAGUCAGCGGUGAAACGCAAGGGCUCAACCCUUGACCUGCCGUUGAAACUGCGUGACUUGAAUGCGGAUGCUGUGGGAGGAAUGUGUGGUGUAGCGGUGAAAUGCAUAGAUAUCAAACAGAACACCGAUUGCGAAGGCAUCUCACAAAUCCGUGAUUGACGCUGAGGCACGAAAGUGUGGGGAUCAAACAGGAUUAGAUACCCUGGUAGUCCACACUGUAAACGAUGAUGACUCGCUGUCGGCGAUAUACAGUCGGUGGCCAAGCGAAAGCGAUAAGUCAUCCACCUGGGGAGUACGACCGCAAGGUUGAAACUCAAAUGAAUUGACGGGG